rnacentral:rRNA from 1 species
UGCAGUCGAGCGGAUGAAGGAAGCUUGUUCCUGUCUUGAGCGGCGGAGGGGUGAGUAAGGCCUAUGAAUCUGACUGGGCCCGGGGGAUAACGACCGGAAACGGAAGCUAAUACCGCAUACGUCCUGAGGGACAAAGGGAGGGAUCUUCAGACCUCACGCUAUCAGAUGAGCCUAGGUCGGAUUAGCUAGUUGGUGGGGUAAAGGCCUACCAUCGCGACGAUCCGUAACUGGUCUGAGAGGAUGAUCAGUCACACUGGAACUGAGACACGGUCCAGACUCCUACGGGAGGCAAGGUGGGGAAUAUUGGACAAUGGGCGAAAGCCUGAUCCAGCCAUGCCGCGUGUGUGAAGAAGGUCUUCCGAUUGUAAAGCACUUUACUUUGGGAGGAAGGGAAAAGGUUAAUACCUUGCUGUUUUGACGUUACCAACAGAAUAAGCACCGGCUAACUUCGUGCCAGCAGCCGCGGUAAUACGAAGGGUGCAAGCGUUAAUCGGAAUUACUGGACGUAAAGCGCGCGUAGGUGGUUCAGCAAGUUGGAUGUGAUAUCCCCGGGCUCAACCUGGCAACUGCAUCCAAAACUACUGAGCUAGAGUACGGUAUAUGGUGGUGGAAUUUCCUGUGUAGCGGUUGAAAUGCGUAGAUAUAGAGAUGGGAACACGCAUAGGCAAAGGGCGACCGACCCUGCACUGAUACUAGUACACUGACUGCUG